AUUGAACGCUGGCGGCAGGCCUAACACAUGCAAGUCGAGCGAGCGGCAGACGGGUGAGUAAUGUAUGGGGACUGCCCGCUAGAGGGGGAUAACUACUGGAAACGGUGGCUAAUACCGCAUACUAUCGGAUAACCCAUAUGGGAUUCGCUAGUAGGUGGGGUAAAGGCUCACCUAGGCGACGAUCUCUAGCUGGUCUGAGAGGAUGAUCAGCCACACUGGGACUGAGACACGGCCCAGACGACUACGGAGGCAGCAGUGGGGAAUAUUGGACAAUGGGCGCAAGCCUGAUGCAGCCAGGGCGCGUGGAUGAAGAAGGCCUUAGGGUUGUAAAGUUCUUUCGGGAGCGAGGCGUUAACUACAGAAGAAGCACCGGCUAACUCCGUGCCAGCCGCCGCGGUAAUUC
rnacentral:rRNA from 1 species